AUGACCUUCAUCAUCAUCUUCAUCUGGACUCUCACAGCGUUUGCUCAAGAGUGUAGAGGACAGAUCAGCGUCACUCAGAGUCCCUCAACAGCAGCUCAACCAGGAGAAACAGUGAAGAUCAGCUGUAAAACCAGCACUGAUGUGUUCAAUGAUGGUUCUGAUGAUUAUUUAGCCUGGUACUUACAGAAACCUGGAGAGGCUCCUAAACUCCUGAUUUAUAAUGCAAACACUCUCCAGUCAGGAACUCCAUCUAGAUUCAGUGGCAGUGGAUCUAACAGUGAUUUCACUCUGACCAUCAGUGGAGUCCAGACUGAAGAUGCUGCACAUUAUUACUGUCAGAGUGCACACAUCAUCAGUAGUAGCUGGGUGUUCACACAGUGAUAAAGAGUCGUACAAAAACCUCGGUCAGUCAGAGUCUCGGUGACUGAACUGAUGCUGCAGCUGCUCAAACACUAUCACACACUA